rnacentral:rRNA from 1 species
GAUCUGGCUCAGGAUGAACGCUAGCGGCAGGCUUAACACAUGCAAGUCGAGGGGCAGCAUAAUGGAUAGCAAUAUCUAUGGUGGCGACCGGCGCACGGGUGCGUAACGCGUAUGCAACCUACCUUUAACAGGGGGAUAACACUGAGAAAUUGGUACUAAUACCCCAUAAUAUCAUAGAAGGCAUCUUUUAUGGUUGAAAAUUUCCGAUGGUUAGAGAUGGGCAUGCGUUGUAUUAG